AUGUUUAUUAUCUGCAAUGACCUGCUGAGAAUAUUCAUUUAUGGUGUAAUUGGUUGUGAUGAGAAAGUGAGAAAUGAGAAAAAUGCAAGAGAGCGUGAAAAGAGAGAGAGAGAGCUACAACAAUCAUGCUUAUACACUAAUAUACAGAAACUAAAUUUCAAGUUAGAUUUCAAAGUCCUUUUAAAUUGGUGUUUCACGAUUAGUUUAAUGAUCUGUUGUAGUUUGUGA